rnacentral:lncRNA from 1 species
UGGCACGAUCUUGGCUCACUGCAACCUGCGCCUCCCAGGUUCAAGCAGUUCUCCUGCCUCAGCCUCCUGAGUAGCUGAGAUUACAGGCAUGCAUCACCACGCCCGGCUCAUUUUUGUAUUUUUAGUAGAGACGGGGUUUCACCGUUUUGGUCAGGCUGGUCUCAAAUUCCUGACCUCGUGAUCCACCCGUCUCUGCCUCCCAAAGUGCUGGAUUACAGGCGUGAGCCGCCUCGCCUGGACUAAUUUUUGUAUUUUUAGUAGAGACAGGGUUUCACCAUGUUGGUCAAACUGGUCUCCAACUCUUGACCUCAGGUGAUCCACUCACCUCGGCCUCCCAAAGUGCUGGGAUUACAGGCAUGAGCCUCCGCACCCCGCCAGUUUCACAAUACUUUUGAGCAUGGGCAUCAAAGUAUCCUCAAGGUUAAAAAUGUUGGGGUCCAAGCAUUCUACCUCUUUGAUUUGUAUGGUUUGAAUUAUGACUCAGCAUUUUAGGAACAUGUUGGCUCCAUAAUCUUUCACCCACACCCCACUUGAAAAAGAAGAUAAUUUUUCAGAUACACUUGCAGAUACAACUACAUAUUAUCCACAUCAUUUUUCUUGGAACUGAAAACUGGUUUUAUACUCAAACAUCCUAUUGGGCAACUGUCAAAUAAAUUAAUUCUGACAUUUGUUAAAAAUUGGAAAGAAAGACUUUAAUACUAUUGCAGUAGAUGUUAUGGCCAUUUUAAUAGGAUUCAAAAAUUGAUCACAACUCUGAACACAGACAACUCAGGAUUUAUAGUCAAUAGAAAGAAUAGAUCAGUGGAUAAAAAAUUACUGAGAGAAAUUUGAUAAAAUACCAAAAGAAGAGAGAUUGUUUUCCAACAGGAUUAUGGCUACAGGCAGGCUAACGACUUAAAUAUCAAGGAAGGGGAA